CGGGUACAAUUGAGACAGGUGGUGCAUGGUUGUCGUCAGCUCGUGUCGUGAGAUGUUGGGUUAAGUCCCGCAACGAGCGCAACCCUUGUGUUUAGUUGCAAACAGGUCAAGCUGUGCACUCUAGACAGACUGCCGUGGACAACACGGAGGAAGGUGGGGAUGACGUCAAAUCAUCAUGCCCCUUAUGAUCUGGGCUACACACGUGCUACAAUGGCCGGUACAACGGGCAGCGAAGGAGCGAUCCGGAGCGAAUCCUAAAAAGCCGGUCCCAGUUCGGAUUGCAGGCUGAAACUCGCCUACAUGAAGUUGGAGUUGCUAGUAAUCGCGAAUCAGAAUGUCGCGGUGAAUGCGUUCCCGGGUCUU
rnacentral:rRNA from 1 species